rnacentral:tRNA from 1 species
GAGGAUUUUGAGUCCUUUAGUGCAGGUUCGGAUCCUGUUUUUCUA